GUUAAGCGACUAAGCGUACACGGUGGAUGCCCUGGCAGUCAGAGGCGAUGAAGGACGUGCUAAUCUGCGAUAAGCGUCGGUAAGGUGAUAUGAACCGUUAUAACCGGCGAUUUCCGAAUGGGGAAACCCAGUGUGAUUCGUCACACUAUCAUUAACUGAAUCCAUAGGUUAAUGAGGCGAACCGGGGGAACUGAAACAUCUAAGUACCCCGAGGAAAAGAAAUCAACCGAGAUUCCCCCAGUAGCGGCGAGCGAACGGGGAGCAGCCCAGAGCCUGAAUCAGUGUGUGUGUUAGUGGAAGCGUCUGGAAAGGCGUGCGAUACAGGGUGACAGCCCCGUACACAAAAAUGCACAUACUGUGAGCUCGAUGAGUAGGGCGGGACACGUGGUAUCCUGUCUGAAUAUGGGGGGACCAUCCUCCAAGGCUAAAUACUCCUGACUGACCGAUAGUGAACCAGUACCGUGAGGGAAAGGCGAAAAGAACCCCGGCGAGGGGAGUGAAAAAGAACCUGAAACCGUGUACGUACAAGCAGUGGGAGCACGCUUAGGCGUGUGACUGCGUACCUUUUGUAUAAUGGGUCAGCGACUUAUAUUCUGUAGCAAGGUUAACCGAAUAGGGGAGCCGAAGGGAAACCGAGUCUUAACUGGGCGUUAAGUUGCAGGGUAUAGACCCGAAACCCGGUGAUCUAGCCAUGGGCAGGUUGAAGGUUGGGUAACACUAACUGGAGGACCGAACCGACUAAUGUUGAAAAAUUAGCGGAUGACUUGUGGCUGGGGGUGAAAGGCCAAUCAAACCGGGAGAUAGCUGGUUCUCCCCGAAAGCUAUUUAGGUAGCGCCUCGUGAAUUCAUCUCCGGGGGUAGAGCACUGUUUCGGCAAGGGGGUCAUCCCGACUUACCAACCCGAUGCAAACUGCGAAUACCGGAGAAUGUUAUCACGGGAGACACACGGCGGGUGCUAACGUCCGUCGUGAAGAGGGAAACAACCCAGACCGCCAGCUAAGGUCCCAAAGUCAUGGUUAAGUGGGAAACGAUGUGGGAAGGCCCAGACAGCCAGGAUGUUGGCUUAGAAGCAGCCAUCAUUUAAAGAAAGCGUAAUAGCUCACUGGUCGAGUCGGCCUGCGCGGAAGAUGUAACGGGGCUAAACCAUGCACCGAAGCUGCGGCAGCGACGCUUAUGCGUUGUUGGGUAGGGGAGCGUUCUGUAAGCCUGUGAAGGUGUACUGUGAGGUAUGCUGGAGGUAUCAGAAGUGCGAAUGCUGACAUAAGUAACGAUAAAGCGGGUGAAAAGCCCGCUCGCCGGAAGACCAAGGGUUCCUGUCCAACGUUAAUCGGGGCAGGGUGAGUCGACCCCUAAGGCGAGGCCGAAAGGCGUAGUCGAUGGGAAACAGGUUAAUAUUCCUGUACUUGGUGUUACUGCGAAGGGGGGACGGAGAAGGCUAUGUUGGCCGGGCGACGGUUGUCCCGGUUUAAGCGUGUAGGCUGGUUUUCCAGGCAAAUCCGGAAAAUCAAGGCCGAGGCGUGAUGACGAGGCACUACGGUGCUGAAGCAACAAAUGCCCUGCUUCCAGGAAAAGCCUCUAAGCAUCAGGUAACAUCAAAUCGUACCCCAAACCGACACAGGUGGUCAGGUAGAGAAUA
rnacentral:rRNA from 1 species